UACGUAGGGUGCGAGCGUUGUCCGGAAUUAUUGGGCGUAAAGAGCUCGCAGGCGGCUUGUCGCGUCGGAUGUGAAAGCCCGGGGCUUAACUCCGGGUCUGCAUUCGAUACGGGCAGGCUAGAGUUCGGUAGGGGAGAUCGGAAUUCCUGGUGUAGCGGUGAAAUGCGCAGAUAUCAGGAGGAACACCGGUGGCGAAGGCGGAUCUCUGGGCCGAUACUGACGCUGAGGAGCGAAAGCGUGGGGAGCGAACAGG
rnacentral:rRNA from 1 species